rnacentral:SRP_RNA from 1 species
GGUCAAGUCCUGUGCAACCGUAAGUAGCCUAACCCCGCCAGGUCCGGAAGGAAGCAACGGUCAGUUACCCAAAGUGUGACACAGGGUAGCUUGACCUCC